UACAUAUCAAACCAUUUUUGAUUGGCACAAUAUAUUGCACAACAUUUCAUUUCGUAACAUAGACGAUCAAUAUUAUUGUACAAAACUGAAUAUCGCUUUACUCACUUCAUGUGACAGGAAGGCAAUAGUGCUGGCAAGUACAAUAUGUCGGUUGUUGACGUGAUAAAACAUUAUCAACGCAGCAUAGAAAAAUGCCCAGAAAACACAGAAAGGGUGAGUUUGAGUAGUUAUAUUUACUAAUAGCUAUACCAAAAAUAUUGUAAUUUUGUGUUUACAUUUCAUGAGCAAGUGUUGCUGGGAGUAUAAUGAAACAAACUACCAAUAAAAUUCAUAUAGCUCAUUUCAAGUGACCCAUUUCAGGAAGGUGAUCUAUACCGAAUUAUCUGAUAUAAUAUUGUAGAUAUAGUGUUUUGUGUGCGAAAAAUAACAUAUUUUUUACUACAUGCUAUAAAGCAUUGAAAUGUGAAUGGUACCUAUGGUUUAUCACUUGUUGGCAAAUUAACAGCUGUUCAGUAGUUAUGUUACCCUAUUACUGCUGCCACAUGUUCUGCAUUUUGAAUUAUUAAAACUCUUUAUGGGAUUUUUAUUUCUGACCCUUAUAUGUUUUUGCAACAUUUAUGGUUACACAUUUUUUAAUGAUAUCCAAGUAGCCUACUCAAAGUUCAAUAUGGGUUCCUUUCCACUUCAAAAUUGCUUCAAACAAGGUAGUAAUUACAGAGACGUCAUUAUGAAGCAGAAGCAUUAAUUACCAAGGAGAACAGUAUAAAAUUUUCCUUUUAUUUUCUUAUAUGGAGCAUUUGGUUCAGUAGUAGUAUAUCAUCAUUCAAUCUUACCAUUUUCCUGUAUUUAAUAUCAUUUAGAAUGUCGUUCAUUGUAGUAUACUUGUUGUCCAUCAUAUUUUUUGGGUUCUUUUUAGCAUACUUCCUUUCUUUUAUAAAGAAGAGUAGGUUUAUGAUGUAGUGUUCUUGUGCAUAUGUCCCUCCAUAAUAUGUUUUAUGAAUAUCAUGUUAUUAGGUCUUAGAACAUAUCUUAAUCCCGAGUAAUAAGUGUUACCAGCAUAGUGACUAUUCAGACUUCUGUGGUGUAAGAGAUGCGAAUGACAAUUCAUGUAGAUUUGUUUUAUUCAGUGUAGUGAUGUACACAAAGAAAUGUUGAAAUAUUUAUCACCAGAGAUAGUAGAAUUAUGUGAUGGUCAUUUAAUUGUGUCUUGGAAUGAUUAUGUGCAGCUCUCACAUGGGAACCAUCAAUGAUUCAUGUCAAAACCCCAUCUGAAAUUUUUCUUAUAUAUAAAUCAUGCCAAGUAAUGCUAAAUUUUAGCCACCAGUACCGGCUGUAAGUAUCUGGAAAAAUUCCGAUCCUUGAAUUGCUGUCAGUUGCAUGGUGUGCAUCUGCAAUAUUACAGGCUACAUUUGAGAGCUAAGGACUGGAAGGAAAGAAGAACCUGUACUAUUCAAUGGCGGUUCCUUUCAGUUGACUCAUGAUCACUGCCUAAUGAUCACAAACUAUUUUCUGCUGACUCUCUGAUCAUACAUAAUAAAAUCUCCAGUGUUUCUUCUGUGACACAUUUUUCCUCUCUGUUGACUCAGAGUCUAUAGUGAUAUAACUGUGCUAGAAUCAGCUACACCAGAGAAAAGUGUGGAAAUAUAAAGCAUUCCUCCAGGAACAAUAGGGAGAAUUCAGGUACUAGACAAAAAAUUCUUUUGACAGUGGAAGGCAUUUAAUUUGAGAUCUUUCAGUGGGGCAGGAUCUUAAAACUCCAGUCAGUUUGUCCACUAUUUGUUUUCCUUGCCUAGAUUUGUCAGCAUCAUCAGAUAUGAAUGGUACACUGCAUGGUAAGUGAUCCAAUGACCACAGUCCUUUAUUACACCAGCACAGUUCCGUCUGCACAGAAUGAGUAGGACUUGUGAACUGCACAAAUGUGAAAACAUCACAGUUAUUCUGUGUUUAUGGUGCAUAUUAAGCAUAUGGUUCAAACAUUCAUCACACCUUUAUAAUAAAUAUAGACAGUGAUUCUUAAAUAUACAUUAUAUAAGGAUUAUGUUGUAGUACUGAAAUCAAGCGAAGAAGUUCUUACAAACAUAUGGUUACAACUACUUUAUUAGUGACUUAUGACAGCAUUGUGUACCAGAGAUUGUUGGCUUCUUGGGCUCAAUUAUGUCUGCAGACUAAUGGAGAUAAUUUCUAACAUUCUUAAAUUUUUGUAAACAUUAAGAUAUGUUGAAAUCUAAUGAAUCAAUUCACUCCGGAAAUAUGAUAAUUGUCUCAGUUUAUUUUCAAACACUUCCUGUUGUUAGUAACAGUAAUGUUUACAAAAGUUCUUGAAAAUGUUCUACAUGUAUAACUGAGCCCCAUUAUGCCAAGAAUUCAUGAUACACAAUGUUGUCAUAUCUCACUAAUAAAGUAGUUGUAACCAUAUGUUUAUGGAACUUCUUGGCUCGAUUUUAUGAGUAGUCCUUAUAUUUAUUGUUUGUAAUUAAGAAUCAGUCUGUACAGAAUAAUGUAUGUACCAAAAUAAAAUAAUAAAAGGCGUUUA